AAAUUUGCCACCCCAUUAAGGGGGCGUUCCAUUCUGACCCCACGCCGGAGGCAAGGCAUCCGAAAGUGGUCUCUUUUUUUUUUGUUUCGGACGGCCAUAUGCAAGUUAAUAUAACAAGAGUGCCAAUCGCCACAUAGCGAAUUGGCACUUUGUGCCAAGCAGAUUUCCAAGGGAGAAUAGCGGAAAAAGAUAAUUGGGAUCGAUGACCGAGCCGGCCACAGCCACAACCAGCUGGCCAUAGAAAGGGAAGAGAAGAGACUGCGCUCCCGAAAAAAA